rnacentral:rRNA from 1 species
AGGUCUUGACAUCCCUGACAACCCGAGAGAUCGGGCGUUCCCCUUCGGGGGACAGGGUGACAGGUGGUGCGAUGGUUGUCGUCAGCUCGUGUCGUGAGAUGUUGGGUUAAGUCCCGCAACGAGCGCAACCCUCGACCUUAGUUGCCAGCAUUCAGUUGGGCACUCUAAGGUGACUGCCGGCUAAAAGUCGGAGGAAGGUGGGAUGACGUCAAGUCCUCAUUGGCCCUUAUGUCCAGGGCUACACACGUGCUACAAUGGGCAGUACAAAGGGUAGCAAGCCUGCGAAGGUGAGCCAAUCCCAAAAAGCUGUUCGUAGUUCGGAUUGGAGUCUGCAACUCGACUCCAUGAAGCUGGAAUCGCUAGUAAUCGCGGAUCAGCAUGCCGCGGUGAAUACGUUCCCGGGCCUU